rnacentral:rRNA from 1 species
GACGAACGCUGGCGGCGUGCUUAACACAUGCAAGUCGAACGGAAAGGCCCUGCGUUUGUGGGGUUCUCGAGUGGCGAACGGGUGAGUAACACGUGAGUAACCUGCCCUUGACUUUGGGGUAACUUCAGGAAACUGGGGCUCAUACCGCGUAGGAGCUCCUGCAGCGUGGUGGUGGUUGGAAAGUUUCGGCGGUUGGGGAUGGACUCGCGGCUUAUCGGCUUGUUUGGGAGGUAGUGGCUUACCAAGGGUUUGACGGGUAGCCGGCAUGAGAGGGUGACCGGCCACAAUGGGACUGAGAUACGGACCAGACUGCUACCGGCGGCAGUAGUGGGGAAUAUUGCGGAAUAGGCCGAAGCCUGAUGCAGCAACGCCGCGUGCGUGAUGCCGGCCUUUGGGGUGUAAACCGCUUUCGACUGUGAUGAAGCGGGCGUGACGGUAACGGGUCAAGAAGCACCGGCUAACUACGUG